GCCUGGGUGGCUCAGUUGGUUAAGCAUCUGACUUUAGUUCAGGUCCUGGGAUCGAGCCCCAUAUCAGGCU
rnacentral:tRNA from 1 species